UCACCUUUAUUUAAUAUUUUCUAAUAAACUUUUAAAUCUGUUCUUAUCAGUUUAAUAUCUGAUAUGUUCUCUAUCUGAGAACUAUAUAUUAAAUGGUUUUUUGGAACAGGGAGAUGGAUUAGGAGCUUGCUCCAUCCACUCCACGCAUCGACCUGGUAUUGCAGUACCUCCAGGAACGGUGCACCUCCC
rnacentral:snRNA from 1 species